rnacentral:rRNA from 1 species
CGUAGGGGCCUAGCGUUGUCCGGAUUUAUUGGGCGUAAAGAGCUCGUAGGCGGUUCGGUAAGUCAGGUGUGAAAUCUCCACGCUCAACGUGGAAGCGCCACCUGAAACUGCCGUGACUCGAGUCCGGUAGGGGAGUGUGGAAUUCCCGGUGUAGCGGUGAAAUGCGCAGAUAUCGGGAGGAACACCAGUGGCGAAGGCGGCACUCUGGGCCGGUACUGACGCUGAGGAGCGAAAGCGUGGGGAGCGAACAGGAUUAGAUACCCUGGUAGUCCACGCCGUAAACGUUGGGCACUAGGUGUGGGACUCUAUCGACGGGUUCCGUGCCGUAGCUAACGCAUUAAGUGCCCCGCCUGGGGAGUACGGCCGCAAGGCUA